GAUGAACGCUGGCGGCGUGCCUAAUACAUGCAAGUCGAGCGAACAGACGAGGAGCUUGCUCCUCUGACGUUAGCGGCGGACGGGUGAGUAACACGUGGAUAACCUACCUAUAAGACUGGGAUAACUUCGGGAAACCGGAGCUAAUACCGGAUAAUAUAUUGAACCGCAUGGUUCAAUAGUGAAAGACGGUUUUGCUGUCACUUAUAGAUGGAUCCGCGCCGCAUUAGCUAGUUGGUAAGGUAACGGCUUACCAAGGCAACGAUGCGUAGCCGACCUGAGAGGGUGAUCGGCCACACUGGAACUGAGACACGGUCCAGACUCCUACGGGAGGCAGCAGUAGGGAAUCUUCCGCAAUGGGUGAAAGCCUGACGGAGCAACGCCGCGUGAGUGAUGAAGGUCUUCGGAUCGUAAAACUCUGUUAUUAGGGAAGAACAAAUGUGUAAGUAACUAUGCACGUCUUGACGGUACCUAAUCAGAAAGCCACGGCGAACUACGU
rnacentral:rRNA from 1 species